rnacentral:rRNA from 1 species
GGGAACUAGUGUGCAGGGGCCGGUGUAAUACGUGGUGGGCGGGCGUUGGCGGGAAUGAUUAGGCGUAAAGGGCUUGGUGGCGGUUUGUCGCGUCUGCUGUGAAAAUCCGGGGCUCAACCCCGGACUUGCAGUGGGUACGGGCAGACUAGAGUGUGGUAGGGGAGACUGGAAUUCCUGGUGUAGCGGUGAAAUGCGCAGAUAUCAGGAGGAACACCGAUGGCGAAGGCAGGUCUCUGGGCCACUACUGACGCUGAGAAGCGAAAGCAUGGGGAGCGAACAGGAUUAGAUACCCGUGUAGUC